ACCAUACAUGUUAUCCCCUGUCUCUCUGAGCAUUCUAUCCAUCUUCCCCACCAUAAAAACUUUCUUUCAUAAAAUAUAUCAUUUGCCUCUGUCUCUGAGUAUUCUCUUUAAAUCAGGUAAUGUUUAAGUUUUGUAGGUUUGAGAAAGUGAGGGUGAGAGAGCUGCAACCACAGCCACUCCACAUGGCGGAAAACCUCCGGCCAACCAUGAACGACGGAAUCACCACAACCACAUUUGCAUCACCAUCUCCUCUCGCUCUGCACUUUCGUUGUGUUCGGUGACGGUGGCGGUCAAGCAGAGAGGGUUUUUGAGGUUUGAGUUUCGCAAAGGUGGGACAAAGCAGAGGGAGCGGUGAAGAUUCUUUUUCUAUAGCGGCGGUUGUGCGGUCCGACGCGGGGAAGACAAUGUAACAAGGAGGGUGUGUUUCGGAUUAUGUAGAGACAGAUCGACAGAGGGGGUUUGGCCGGUCAUUUCCGGCGGCUUUCUGAGCUAUUUCCGGCCGUCUAUGGCCUCUCAGUCACACCUUCAAUGUGGUUACAUGUUUUAUGCCUGAUUCGAUUUGGAUUUUAUGGGCUUUGGUGACGAUGAUGGUGUUUAAUACCUGAGUCAAUUUGGUUUUUGUGCUUGCUCACAAUACCUAUGGUGGUGUUUUCGUUGUUAUGGUAGCAACAGUAUUUGUUUGUACAUUUGUUUAAAGGCUGUGAUGAUAGGUAUUAAAGGUGGACAUCAAAGAUCUGACCCGUAUCUUGGCGAGGCAAUAUUAGGAUGGCAUAGUUGAUAUUUUGUGACUAUGCAACCGUGUAUUUGCAGCCAUGGGGUAACCCGCAUCUUUUUUGUCAAUUCAUAUUUGAGCCUCUUUUGAUUUGAUUUUGACUUAUCUGCACAUGGAUCAGAUUUCUGAUUAUGAAAAUAGAAUCUUGGACAAGUGGGUUUGUGUAAGAUUAAGUCCUUCUUGAUUUUCUGGUGAGUGUCAGAAACACAGCCAGGCAGACUGUUGGAUGUCGGUUUUCGGUUUCAAAAUGAUGUUUGUUUUGUGGUUUUUUAGUGAUUCUUAAUUUUUUUGGCAUGAUUUUCAAUUCGGUUUCUCGGUACUUAAGGCUUGAGUUUUAUUGAAAAGGUGGUUCAUAUGUCUUAUCUGAAACUUUCCAAAGAUUAUUAGGUUCGAACGUUUAUUUAAGAGAAAUGACAUGUUUUGUAUGUAUGUGUUUAUGUGUUUGUGAAAGUUUGACUUUCAAUCUGGUCAUUUGUGACUGAUAUUAUUGAUGUUAAGGUUACUUUGAUUAAUGGAGAAAUUGAGAUAUUUGAUAGAUUAAAAAGUUGAAAUCUAUAUAGUAUUACGUGUUUUUCAAGUUUUUUAAUCUGAAUGUGUUGAUUUCUUACUGUUUUCGUUAGGUUUUGUGGGUUUGAUCAAAAGAUUAGCUCGAAACUCUCAUCUUUAUGUGCUAACUUUGUUUGACCUGUGUGGUUCAAGCGUUAACAUUGAUUUUAAUAAGGAAUGUAAACGUACGUCUUCAUCUUGCAGACAGUAGAGGUGAUGUAAAUAGCAUUAGUAUUGGAUCUGGCACGGACAUAUAGGAUCACUCACUUGUGCAUGUUGAAAAAUCUAAUCUACCAGGAAAGGUGCAUUCGACUGUGAUUGGUGACAAUGUCACUGUUGGUCAUAGUGCUGUUUUACAUGGAUGCUCAGUUGAGGAUGAUACGUUUGUCGGGAUGAAAUUCGCAAGUUGGUUUAACAAUCAUAAGGUAAUAAUGUCAUUUUAUAGAAGGGCUCAGGAUUGACCUUCUAGAAUAUGAAUUUAAUAUGCUUCCCGAUUGGAAUAACUGUCUAGAUCAUCUUUCGUACUAUUAAAUUUUGGAUAUUUGUAGUAUUUUAUAAAUGUUUCAUAUCAAGCUAUGCUUUGCAUAUGUUAAAUAU